rnacentral:sRNA from 1 species
UUUCUUUCUUUCUUUUUCUUUAUGUUCUU